rnacentral:rRNA from 1 species
UCGGGAAUCUUGGGCAAUGGGCGAAAGCCUGACCCAGCGAUGCCGCGUGUGUGAAGAAGGCCCUAGGGUUGUAAAGCACUUUCAGCAGUGAAGUAAUGCCGGGAGCUAAUAUCUCCUCGGUUUUGACGUUAACUGCAGAAGAAGCAUCGGCUAACUCCGUGCCAGCAGCCGCGGUAAUACGGAGGGUGCGAACGUUAAUCGGAAUUACUGGGCGUAAAGCGCGCGUAGGCGGUUUGAUAAGUGGGAUGUGAAAGCCCCGGGCUUAACCUGGGAACUGCAUUCCAAACUGUCAGGCUAGAGUAUGGUAGAGGGAGGUAGAAUUUCCUGUGUAGCGGUGAAAUGCGUAGAUAUAGGAAGGAAUACCGGUGGCGAAGGCGGCCUCCUGGACCAAUACUGACGCUGAGGUGCGAAAGCGUGGGGAGCAAACAGGAUUAGAUACCCGUGUAGUCC